rnacentral:rRNA from 1 species
UAGCAUAUCAAUAAGCGGAGGAAAAGAAACCAACAGGGAUUGCCCUAGUAACGGCGAGUGAAGCGGCAAGAGCUCAAAUUUGAAAGCUGGCCCCCUCGGGGCCCGCAUUGUAAUUUGCAGAGGAUGCUUCGGGCGUGGCCCCUGUCUAAGUGCCCUGGAACGGGCCGUCAGAGAGGGUGAGAAUCCCGUAUGGGAUGGGGUGCCCACGCCCGUGUGAAGCUCCUUCGACGAGUCGAGUUGUUUGGGAAUGCAGCUCUAAAUGGGUGGUAAAUUUCAUCUAAAGCUAAAUAUUGGCCGGAGACCGAUAGCGCACAAGUAGAGUGAUCGAAAGAUGAAAAGCACUUUGAAAAGAGAGUUAAAAAGCACGUGAAAUUGUUGAAAGGGAAGCGCUUGCGACCAGACUCGCCCCAGGGGUUCAACCGGCUUUCGGGCCGGUGUACUUCCCCCGGGGCGGGCCAGCGUCGGUUUUGGCGGCCGGUCAAAGGCCCCUGGAAUGUAACGCCUCUCGGGGCGUCUUAUAGCCAGGGGUGCCAUGCGGCCCGCCGGGACCGAGGAACGCGCUUCGGCUCGGACGCUGGCAUAAUGGUCGUAAGCGACCCGUCUUGAAACACGGACCAAGGAGUCUAACAUCUACGCGAGUGUUCGGGUGUCAAACCCGUGCGCGCAGUGAAAGCGAACGGAGGUGGGAGCCCCCCGGGGCGCACCAUCGACCGAUCCUGAUGUCUUCGGAUGGAUUUGAGUAAGAGCGUAGCUGUUGGGACCCGAAAGAUGGUGAACUAUGCCUGAAUAGGGCGAAGCCAGAGGAAACUCUGGUGGAGGCUCGCAGCGGUUCUGACGUGCAAAUCGAUCGUCAAAUUUGGGUAUAGGGGCGAAAGANUAAUCGAACCAUCUAGUAGCUGGNUNCUGNCGA